UACGUAGGGGCCAAGCGUUGUCCGGAUUUAUUGGGCGUAAAGAGCUCGUAGGCGGUUGGGUAAGUCGGGUGUGAAAACUCCAGGCUCAACUUGGAGAUGCCACCCGAUACUGCUCUGACUUGAGUUCGGUAGGGGAGUGGGGAAUUCCUGGUGUAGCGGUGAAAUGCGCAGAUAUCAGGAGGAACACCGGUGGCGAAGGCGCCACUCUGGGCCGAAACUGACGCUGAGGAGCGAAAGCGUGGGUGGCAAACAGG
rnacentral:rRNA from 1 species